UACGAAGGGUGCAACGUUGUCUCUGGAAUUACUGGGCGUAAAGGCGUGCGUAGGUGGUUGUUAAGUCUGAUGUGAAAUCCCCUCGCUCAACGAGGGAACUGCGUCGGAUACUGGCAGACUUGAGUACCGGAGAGGAAGGUGGAAUUCACGGUGUAGCAGUGAAAUGCGUAGAUAUCGUGAGGAAGACCAGUGGCGAAGGCGGGUCUCUGGACAGUUCCUGACACUGAGGCACGAAGGCCAGGGGGAGCAAACGGG
rnacentral:rRNA from 1 species